AGAAAAUGGUCUUCAUCUUCAAAUGUUGAAAUAAAGAUAAAUUGUAAUAAAAAGGCAUUGACAUCAGUAAUAAAGGUAUCUGUCAUAGAACACAGUUAUGAUUAUUCUCUUUUUGAAAAAUAAAAAAACGUUAUGUUAUUUCAUAAAAUAGUAUUUACCUCUUGAAGUCUUUCUAUAAUAGUUCUGUAAUCGGGUUUUGAAGAACCCCACGGACGCCACAUUUUUUACUCUCAAAUAUCUUUCAAGGUAUAAUAAUAGUAUGUACACUCUUGUGUUAAUAGGAAAUGAAAUCUCAGAAGC
rnacentral:lncRNA from 1 species